UCCCUCCACUGCCGGCCCCAGAUGGCCCGGUGCACACGACCCAGCUCUGGCAACCAGGCUUCCAGCCUCGGGGAAAUUACCUGGCAGGUCCCAGAGUUCAGCGGACAUUCAAUCUGCUUCCCACGAGCUGCUCCUGGCCAGGCGGGUCUGUGCCUGUCCCCCUGCCUCCGUUCAAGGUUCCCACUGGGCCACCACACCAGCAAACAGGGGCUCCAGAAAAGUCACCCAGUGGGCCUCCAGCCAGCAGGACCAAGAAGCGGCCCAGAAACCUCUCCCAGGGACAGGGCGGCUGGAAGUAGGGCCUCAGAGAUAGACCAAGAUCUUGGCAGUCUUCGAGGCUGAUCUCCUUUUACAGAUGGGGAAACUGAGGCACAGGGAGGCAUAACUUAUGAAAGGUCACACUGCUCUGAUCUCCCUUCUCUGCUGUUCCAUCUCCCUCCCUUUCCCCCCUCUCCUUUCCAUCCCCCCUCUUCCUCUUUCCUCUCCUCCCCUCCACUCCCUUCAGCUGUGUUCCCCCUUCCUUUUCCCACCCCUCCCCUCUUCUCCCCACUUCUUUCCUCCCUUCCCCUGCCCCCUAACUGAUGGACAAAACUCCCUUGACAAAGGCAGACUCCAUUAAUUGGGACGUAUGGACUCCCACUGCAUCCUAAUACACUCUCAGCUUUAACAGUAAGGAAGCUGUUUCCUCUCCUGAGCUGAAAUCGGCCUCUCUAGGGUACAUGUCCCCUACUCUUUCUAGCACAGCCUUCUGGGUCCACAAAGGAAGGGUGUGGAGUGAGAAUCCUCACACAUCUGAAUUUGACCGUCCUAUGCACCAGUAUCCCUGGGAUGCUGUGGGAAAGCUGCCACGUGUCUAGUACACUGGAGCGUGCCCAGCUUCAUGGGCAUGGGCAUGGGUCCUGGGCCAAGCUCUAGGAAUACCAGGAUCCCUCCUCCCAAGUUGAUCCCAAUCUCACAUGGAAGACCACAGAGCGCAUAAAAAGGCAGAAGAACAAUCCCCACCAACAUCGGAAGGAACAAAAUCGUUCCGAAACGUGGCUCUUCUCAAUGGUGAGGUGAUUCAGAUCAGUUCCAAUGGUCUUGUGACAAAGAGAGCCAUCACCCAGAGAGAGGACUGUGGCAACUGAGUGUGGAUCACAAUACAGCAUUCUCCCUCUUUUUGUUGUUUGUUUGCAUUUUAUUUUCUUUCUCAUUUUUCCCCUUUUGACCUGAUUUUUCUUGUGCAGCAAGAUAAUUGUAUAAAUAUGUAUGAAUUUAUAUUGGA